AGGAUCUUUUUCCUCUGUGACCUUGGACCUCAACUUUCCCUCUCCUCUUAAGUGACUGUAGAAUGGGGAAGAGAUGGUAAGCACUGGACAGCCACAGGGAAAUGUCCCUCUAAAGAACUUAGUAUGGGGAAUGAAAGAAGAUGAACAUUUCCUUCAAGAGCUAAACAACCAAGUCAACUAUUGGAUAGCACAGGGAACUAUACUCCAUAUCCUGUGAUAAAUCACAGUGGAAAAGAUUUUUAUCUUAAUUUUUAAAAGAAUAUGUAUAUACACAUAUAAGUAUUCAACAUGACUGAUUGAAUCACUUUGCUGCACAGCAGAAAUUAACACAACAUUGCAAAUCAACUAUAUUUCGAUAUUAAAAAUCGAUAUAUAUAAACAUUAUAUGCAGCAGAGAUAUGCAGAGUCAUCGUGCUAAACAUAGUAACCUGAAUGAAGAUAUUAACACAGCUAGAGUGAUAAUGGUCAAUUUGAAGUAGCGAUCGAUACUGUGGGAGAGGGAAAAGGGGAGAACAGAGGAAAAUUCAUGAGCUCUGUUUGCAUUUUGAAAAUUUGCUAAAGCAUUGCCCUCAAGGUAGUGAAUGAAAUCGGGCCUGCUCUGCCUUCAUGGAGUCCCAUGCCAAGCUCACAGCAUCCAUCUAGAAAUAAUUAGAGGGGAAAGAGGCAACCUAGUCAAGAACACCCAGUAGCCCAGGCAUUGGGUUUGCCCAUUUGUGGCUGCCAAUGUUAGUCCCCUUCCUGUAUCAGCUGAUGCUCAUAGAUGGAGGACCCUGAUCCACCCAGCUUGCAGACUAUUGCGGAGAACAGGUGGGCGCGCCCUCUCCACCCUUUUAUUCUUUUCUCCCUGAAAGAGGCGGGGCUACCCGGACAUGGGACAGCCUAUCAAGUCCUGGCCUCAUACUCCAGGGGGCGGGGUCAUGGAGUCAGGGAUCCGCUCCUGCACCUCAAACACUUCUGUGCUCUUCGAUCCGCCUGCCCAGCACUGGGACCCUGGUGAACCUCACAUCCCCAGCAGGCUGCCUUCUGCCUUCUCCUGCUCCAGCUUUUUGGGGUGCGUCUGGGGAGGUGCCGUAGAGGGUGAGGGGGGAAAUGAAGAAGGGAGAAGGAUCUGGGAGCACGAUUGGGUCCAUUCCAAGCAUCUGCCGUAAGUUGGAUUCUAGUGAAUGUAUGAAAGAGAGAAGAAAGUGUAUUCAGGCUAAAGAAAUGAUGGGUGAGAGGACAGAGUUAGGAAGGAGCUACGUAUUCUAAUUGUUUACGCAGGUUCAUGUUCCUGGAGCCUGGAUGUGAGCAGGGAAAUAGGAAACGGGGGGAGAAGAAGGCAGGGCUGGAGCAGGAUGACUUCUGUGGGCCUUGCCAAUGAGUCUGGGUUCUCCAUCUUUUUGUAUCCCUGGCACAUUAAGACUACUUUGAUAAAAGCAGACGCCCAAUAAGUGUUAAUGGUUCUUGAGACAAAAAGAGAAGACAAACAAGCCUUGAUGGUUGAGAAAAUCCUAAUUAAAAAGUGAAGAUUGAGUCAGGUUUCUUGUUUGUGGCUCAUGUUGUCCCCUUGGCAUCAAUUUUGUUUUUAUGAUUAACCCCUCAGUCAAUGGCACCCCACUCCAGUACUCCUGCCUGGAAAAUCCCAUGGACAGAGGAGCCUGGAAGGCUGCAGUCCAUGGGGUCGCUGAGGGUUGGACACGACUGAGCGACUUCACUUUCACUUUUCACUUUCAUGCACUGGAGAAGGAAAUGGCAACCCACUCCAGUGGAGAAUCCCAGGGACGGGGGAGCCUGGUGGGCUGCCGUCUAUGGGGUCACACAGAGUCGGACACAACUGAAGUGACUUAGCAGCCUCAAUCAUACCAAGAUAAAAGGGAAGCAGCUAAGCCUGAGGAUUGCCCAUGCUCCAGAAUCUCAGCUCCUCUAUCAACAAGCCCGGUGCGGCCCUGAGCACUGCCCAGACUCCUCAGCCCCCUUCCUACCGUGUUUGUGCACCCUUCUGAACUUGAUGCGCCAUCGCGUCCAAUAGUCAGUGUCUGCGGUUUUCCUUUGCAGGACUUGCGUUUCUACUAGAAUCACAUUGCCCACAAACACAGACAGUAGAGGGCUUCCCAGGUGGCACUAGUGGUAAAUGAACCCGCCUGCCAGUGUGGGACACGCAGGCUUCAUACCUAAGCUGGGAAGGUCCCUGGAGGAGGGCAUGGGAACCCACUCGAGUAUUCUUGCCUGGAGAACCCCAUGGACAGAGGAGCCUGGUGGGCUACCCUCCAUAGCAUCGGAAAGAGUCGAACACGACUGAAGCAACUUAGCAUGCAUUCAUUCACAGAGAGCUGGAAAUUCCUGAAAACUCCCACCAAUCGCUUGGGGCAGCUCUUAAACCAUGACUGGCAGGGGUGGGAAUAUGAGACCUAGCCCCUUGCCCUGAGGCAAGACAACUCUGAGGUAUCACUUGUGGCUCAGACAACAAAAACAAAUCUUCCUGCAAUGCAGGAGAUGCCAUUUUGAUCCCUAAGUCGAGAAGGUCACCUGGAGGAGAAAAUGGCAACCCACUCGAGUAUUCUUGCUUGGAGAACCCCAUGGACAGAGGAGCCUGGUGGGAGGAGUCCAUGGGGUCACAGAGAGUAGGACACGAAUAACACUGUCACUUUUCACGAGUCAUUUUAGAGUCAUUUCCCUGGUGGGAUUGGGUGAAAACCACCCCCUGCCUGGCUUUACUGAGAUCCCAUCCUUGCUUGGAGAGGGCAAUGGCACCCCACUCCAGUGUUCUUGCCUAGGAAAUCCCAUGGAUGGAGGAGCCUGGUAGGCUGCAGUCCAUGGGGUCGCUAAGAGUCAGACACAACUGAGCGGCUUCAAUUUCACUUUUCAUUUUCAUGCCUUGGAGAAGGAAAUGGUAACCCACUCCAGUGUUCUUGUCUGGAGAAUCCCAGGGACAGGGGAGCCUGGUGGGCUGCCAUGGGGUCGCACAGAGUCGGACACGACUGAAGUGACUUAGCAGCAGCAGCAGUAGCAGCCUUGCUUGGCGUCUUUCCCUCCCCUGUCUGCUUGUCCUAUACCUUUACUGGUCCUUCCUGGAAGAACCUCAUUAGUAAAGCACUUGCUUAUGAAUCCUUAUCUCACUAAAUAGUUGUUCCAGGGGAGUUAGAACCAGACACCCUGACUAUCUUAUAUUACCAGGUAAUACUUUAUAGAUUUUGGAAUUAGUAGGGUCAGUUGCCAGAAAUAGAAACUACCCAGGUGUGUUAAACAGAAGGAAUUUAAACUGGGAAUUAGGCCCUUCCAAAU
ensembl:lincRNA